rnacentral:rRNA from 1 species
UGGAUUAGUGGCGAACGGGUGAGUAACACGUGGGCAAUCUGCCCUUCACUCUGGGACAAGCCCUGGAAACGGGGUCUAAUACCGGAUAACACCUGCCUGGGCAUCUGGGUGGGUUAAAAGCUCCGGCGGUGAAGGAUGAGCCCGCGGCCUAUCAGCUUGUUGGUGAGGUAGUGGCUCACCAAGGCGACGACGGGUAGCCGGCCUGAGAGGGCGACCGGCCACACUGGGACUGAGACACGGCCCAGACUCCUACGGGAGGCAGCAGUGGGGAAUAUUGCACAAUGGGCGAAAGCCUGAUGCAGCGACGCCGCGUGAGGGAUGACGGCCUUCGGGUUGUAAACCUCUUUCAGCAGGGAAGAAGCGAAAGUGACGGUACCUGCAGAAGAAGCGCCGGCUAACUACGUGCCAGCAGCCGCGGUAAUACGUAGGGCGCAAGCGUUGUCCGGAAUUAUUGGGCGUAAAGAGCUCGUAGGCGGCUUGUCACGUCGGGUGUGAAAGCCCGGGGCUUAACCCCGGGUCUGCAUUCGAUACGGGCUAGCUAGAGUGUGGUAGGGGAGAUCGGAAUUCCUGGUGUAGCGGUGAAAUGCGCAGAUAUCAGGAGGAACACCGGUGGCGAAGGCGGAUCUCUGGGCCAUUACUGACGCUGAGGAGCGAAAGCGUGGGGAGCGAACAGGAUUAGAUACCCU